GACGAACGCUGGCGGCGUGCUUAACACAUGCAAGUCGAACGGAAAGGCCCUGCUUUUGUGGGGUGCUCGAGUGGCGAACGGGUGAGUAACACGUGAGUAACCUGCCCUUGACUUUGGGAUAACUUCAGGAAACUGGGGCUAAUACCGGAUAGGAGCUCCUGCUGCAUGGUGGGGGUUGGAAAGUUUCGGCGGUUGGGGAUGGACUCGCGGCUUAUCAGCUUGUUGGUGGGGUAGUGGCUUACCAAGGCUUUGACGGGUAGCCGGCCUGAGAGGGUGACCGGCCAAAUUGGGAUGGAGAAGGGGCCCAAACCCUAAGGGGGGGCAGCGGGGGGGAAUAUGUCACAAGGGGCGGAGGCCUGAUGGAGAACCGCCGGGUGGGGGAUGACGGCCUUCGGGUGGAAAACCGCUUUCGCCUGUGACGAAGCGUGGGUGACGGUAAUGGGUAAAGAAGCACCGGCUAACUACGU
rnacentral:rRNA from 1 species